rnacentral:rRNA from 1 species
UACGGAGGGUGCGAGCGUUGUCCGGAAUCACUGGGCGUAAAGGGCGCGUAGGCGGCCCGGUUCGUAAGGGGUGAAAUCUCACGGCUUAACCGUGAGGCUGCCUCUUAAACUGCCGGGCUCGAGCACAGUAGAGGCAGGUGGAAUUCCCGGUGUAGCGGUGGAAUGCGUAGAGAUCGGGAAGAACAUCGGUGGCGAAGGCGGCCUGCUGGGCUGUUGCUGACGCUGAGGCGCGACAGCGUGGGGAGCAAACAGG